CCCUUAGACGUUCUGGGCCGCACGCGCGCUACACUGACCAGUGCAACAAGCAUCCGUCCUUGGCCGACAGGCCCGGGCAAUCUUUGAACGCUGGUCGUGAUGGGGAUAGACUUUUGCAAUUUUUGGUCUUCAACGAGGAAUUCCUAGUAAACGCAAGUCAUCAACUUGCAUUGAUUACGUCCCUGCCCUUUGUACACACCGCCCGUCGCACCUACCGAUUGAAUGGUCCGGUGAAGCCUCCGGAUUGGCGCGCACCUCGGUGCCGCCGAGAAGUUGGCUAAACCUUACCAUUUAGAGGAAGGUGAAGUUGUAACA
rnacentral:rRNA from 1 species